CUCUACAGACACAGAAAGCCCUAGCCCCCCUUCAGAAUCAGUCCUUAGCUUGUGACCUUGGACAAGAACUGGUAGAUGGCAGUUGUGAGUCCCCAGUGUCUGACUUGCUUCUUGAUCGUGAGGUCUCUGUGGGAACAGAGGAAGUGCACAGCCCUGGGUUCCGAAUGGGUGAGUUGCUUCAAAGGGCAAGUGGGGGAAAGAUUUAAUCCUCCCUUCUGAUGUUACUUUUAAUUAAAUUAAAUUUUAAUCUUUAAAUAAAAAGGAAUCUGUGCUCUUAUGCCUGAAGUUGGGGCCAGAGGCGUUUUGCCCUUGGAAGCUUGACUUCUUAGAUGUUCUCUACACACAUACACUCCCUUUUUGAAACCUUUGCUAGGGAAACCUACUAUUCACAAAGGGUGGCUUCUACUUAUUCAGUCUCUUUACACUCCAAUUAUUAGAUGUUUCUCCUGGAGCCAUCUUGCUGAAGCCAUUCCAAGCUUUUCUACUAGCCCCUUUACGAUAUAAAUCCAAUUGGUUAUAUAUCCUUGCUCACUCUGUUGCAAGGAUUCUGGCCCUUUGUUAAGCAAAAAAUAAUAUAGUUACGUUCAUUUCAGAAGCAGGAAUGAGAAGCAUGUGGACCUUUUUUGUUCAAAAUCAGAAGAUUAAAAAAGCUUUAGUAUUAGUAUUUGCUCAAGUCAUAAAAAUUAUAAAUGUCAAAUUAACAGGACUCCAAGUGAGUAGGUGCACACACACACCUUGGAGCGCUGUUCACACCACCUGAUCUUGGGGUAGAGAUCUUUGCUGCCAGACUAGUGUUGUACAGCAUGAAAUUUAUUUUCAUUAAUGGUUGCCGAUUUUGUCCCUGCAGCCUGUGGGGUUUUCUAAACCACGAUACACAAAUAUGCUCUUACCAAUUCCACUACUUUUGAAAUUCCUCAAAUUAAGUUUAUUAGAGCAGUUCUUGCAGUCUCAAAAUAUAUUAAGAAUGUUGUCUUAUGACUGGAGAUGGGUUAGAAUUCUGUGGAGGCUAGAACUUGGUCCCUUCUGAUCCAUUUUUGACUAAAAUUAGUUUUUUUUUCUCCAUAGGUCUAAUCUUUGUUUUCUUAGGGAUCAUUUCAAAUCAACAUGGUUUAAUAAAGUAAUUGAGAAAAUCCAUUCCUUGGAGAACCGUUGCUCCCCAGAAGGGCUUUCAGGCAACCGAUGGAAGCCCAGCCUCUCGUGCUACCCUUUGGGGAGUCUUCUGAAAGGAUUGGCACCAGCCUCCCCUCCAUCACCAGUCACAGUACUGCAAUUCCAGAGAACGGAGAACAGGGCAACCCUAAGAAUAUCUGCAUCUUUGUUGCUGUAAUGAAUCAUUCAAAUUGAGCUUCUUCCCUUCCCGGCAGUUCUCCUGCAGUCACCUGGGCAGCAGGAGGGAGGGCUGGAGCUCCUGUGCAAGGGCCUCUCCCUCUCCCAUUGGGAUGUGGUGGCGGGGUGGGGGGUAAGGGGUGGGGAAGAGAUCCUCCAGUUUCCAAUCCUAUCUGGCCUAUUUUUCAACUCCACCCUUCCUUGGCCAGCUUCUCCCCCAACCCUGGCCCAAAGGCUCCCACACCGCCAGUGCUAGAUUCUCAAGAGCCCCUUAGCCUUGAGUGCCAAGACCACUCGUCCAGACCUGAGGCAAAUCUUAACCCACUCCUUCUGAACCUGAAACGCCCCAGGGGAUGCUGCACCCCCCCCACACACACACAGAGAGCAGCCCAUGGCACUUUACCUUCUUCCGCACGUGUCUCUGUUCCUUUGCACAGAGAUGCAGACCUGGCCAGCAAUGCAUCCUCUCUCUCUGCAGAAAGCUCCACCCCCGGGGCUUCCGCAGCUGCUUCUUCCUACGGCCCUUUCUUAUCAUCAUGGAAGACUCAGUGGUGAGCACAGCAGCCCUGAAAGGAAAGGACCAUCUCCGGCUUCCCAAGGGGAUGCCAGAGAAGAAUGGAAAAGGCAAUACUCUGAACUGCCGAGGGAAAAACUCCUGGGCCUGGAGGGCCACCAGGACCUUAGGACUGUGAGGGCUGGAGGGGUAAUGGGGCUUUUUAGAGGGGGCAGCAAGGAGCACACUCCUUUACUGUGUUGCCAUUUCCUCACAGUUCUGCCUUGGUCAAUUGCAAGGGCUGAUCUCCACAACUAGUCAAUAUGUUCAGCCUUGGUAGCGAUAUUUCCUUCUUUUCAGCAGGAGGAGGGGGCUUUCUCUGGGCCAGGAAUAGUUCCUUUGCCUGUCAGAGAAUUGAACUUAGUUCCAGUCGUAUUUGGAAGCUCAGGGGAGCCUCCUUGAAAUAAACUCUUUUGGCCAAACACCUGGAGCAAAGGAGGUGCCUAUGGAGCAGUGAGAGGCAUCUCCUGCUCAAAGAGCUGGUUCACCCCUUGAGAAUAAAAUUGACCUGACGCAGCAACUGACCUGCUUCUGCCAGAUAUCCUCUGUGAUCCAUUUGGAGACCCUUGAACACACCAAGAAUCAUCUAGGAUAGUAAAGACAGCAAGGCCUCCUAACUGUAGGCCAGCGGUUCCCAACCUUUUCUAUACUCCACACCCCUAGAACGCUUCUGAUAUAUUCUCACACCCCUUAGAAAAAUUCCAAAUAGCCAGGCCAAAUCCCUGCUCUCCAGCACAAGAAGUGCUGAACUGCCUUGGAGCGAAGAGAUGUGGCAGGCAUUCAAUUAGAGCACCCCAAUCAAAUGCCCCAUCUUUCAAACUGGCAAAAUCAGCAGCAUAAAUAGCAGGAUAGUAGCCUCCCAAAGGUACACUGGUCUUACUGCCACAGGGGAGCAGAGCACGAGGCAUCCAUGGGAUGUUAGCUUGGGUUCCUGGAUUGUGGGGGCAUCCAGCCCCCUGACUCUGCACACAAGAGACCCCCAUCUAGCCCUGUCCAUUGUUUAGCAAACUUCUCCAGCCAUGUCACCCACUGUCUCUUGGCUACUUGCCCCUCACAAGAGAGGCUGCAGAGAGAAUGUAAGAUAGUCAGAGGAGCAACCCCCCUCCCCCCAAGAGAUGCCCUUCCACAAGCAGCCUUCCUCAUGCACUGGCAGUCAAUCAGAGCUGAGAGGGACCUUGGAGGUCUUCUAGUUCAACCCCCUGCUCAAGCAGGAGACCCUAUACCAUAGAGAUGUCCUUGAUGUGGCACAGCUGCUGAUUUGGAGGGAUUCACGGCAAGUUGCUCCAUAUAUGCCUCAGCAAAAGGAUAUGCGGGCAAACCACGGGGGCUAUUACAAGUUGCCAGCCUCUUGGCACCCUGAAAAGAGAUCUCCAUGGAUUGAAUUUGGAGGUUUUCAGUUAAUAACAGCUAAUUCGAGAAAUAGCUUGCAUUGCCUCAAAGGAGGCAGUGUAAUGCGUUCAACUCCAACAGUCACAAAUAUUUAUAGUCCCAAAGACAACCUACAAUUACACUUGCCCAUAUCAAGACCUAUUCCUCCCCACUCUCCUUUAUUCUGUUUUUAGUGGGGGAAAAGGCUGCGUCCCAAAGAAUCUUGCCGGAAUAUGGUGUGUGUGGGAACAGCAUCCAGAAAGCUGAUUUUUAAGGAAGAGUUUAAUUCCUCCUGCUCUGAAGUUCUGAGCAACACAAACAUCACAUUGGUAUCCUAGGGGUUCAGCUGAAGCGAAGCAGAGGCAGCAGGAAGGGCCCAAAUAAGCAAAAUAAAGGUACGUGCGCGCACGCGCACACACACACCAGAGCAACAGGCAUACAAUCCACAGAACUGCUGCCCAGAACCCAGCCGAAGGGCCAUGGGAGCAGAGGCAGCAUGCUCCGGCUGUAAAGAUCUCUGCUUUUCUGGGAGCCCUGUUUCUCCUCUCCUCAAGCACUCUGAAAACCUUUGGGAUGGGGAUCAUGGUCUUCUGCUUUUACCUCUCAAAGGAAGGCAGGCCCCAUUGCUCUGAAAUGAUCUCCACUGCUGUCAGGUAGAAAAGGUGCCAAGAGACACUCCUGAAAGUAACUGGGCAGAAUGCCCCAGGAUCACAAGCUGCAUAAAUCCCCUGGGAAGCCUUUAAAACAGGGGUGUCAAACUGCCGGCCCGCGGGCUGCACACGUCAAGAGGAAACUGGGCCCACUACAUUGCUGGCAAUGGGGGAAAAGCUGAUAUGUUGUGCGACAUCACGUGACAUUGCGAGUUUCACAUGUCUGCUUUAAAAGAAAGAGGUAGGGGACACUCCAACCCGCCCAUUAGGAAAUGAACGACAUAAAAGGGGUGGCGAGGAAGAGGCAGGCAAGUUCCAAUCAAGGCACACUCCAAAUGUGGGCAUUUUUUUGGGCAAAGGCCUCUCUCUGCAUACUCUUGAACCAAGUGACCACCCUAACAAAAUUGCAAUCCUGACCUUUUGCACAAUUAGCUGCCACACCCUCCCAAGGACACAUGACGGAUGACCUGAAACACUGGUUCUAUUCUCUUCCAAGUGAAAGCAGGUCAAUAACUUCACAAGAAACAUAAUUUGCAUAAAAGCACCCCAGUCAAUGGACAGGCUGAGAAUAUGAACCAUGAUCGCUCUCCCCUCCCCCUCCAAACACUGAGAAAUAGAAAG